UCUUCUUCUAUCACACUCUGAAUCUAUUCCUAUAUAUACUCUCAAAUAUCUCCAAAUAAAGUAUAGCAAAACUUCAAAAUUCAUUUGGAGCAUAAGCUGCUGUUUUCUCAGUUUGAUUUCAUAAUUUAUUUAUGAGGAUUGCCGGAUUCUGAAUUAACUUAUACUCAAGGAGAUGGUAAAGGAGGAGUGUAUUGUGUGAAGGCUGGGGAAGUGGGACAUGACAAGAAUUUAUUUUCUUUUAAACAACCACUGCUACUGAAGGGGAACAACAGUUUCCAAGGACUAUUUCCUUUCAAUAUGUGUAAGUUCAACUGGGCCCAGUAACUAAUCCAAGAUUCUCUUGUUUGCAUCACUGAUUUCUUUAGAAGUCAAGAUUUUAUUUGUUAAACAAAAAAGCUGACCAUGAUUAAUUUAGACAAGACAAGAAUUUACAAACAUCAGAAUCAAUGGACUGGUUGGAAAAAUAGUCAAGGCAAAGAUGCUGCCAAGAUCCUAUGACCAGCUUCUAUUCUCAAUAUCACUAGACAUCUGCUGUCAUCAUUGCUGCUACCGCAGCCAUUGGGCACCCAUGGCCAUGGUACUGAACUCAUUUUUUCUUUAAAUAAAUAUUGUAUUUUAGAAUGUAUUUAAUUUGAUAGAACAAACACUCAGUCCAUAACAGAGUCUAAAUUUAGUUUUUUCAAAUAGGGAUAUCCUAUUGUUCCAGCAUCACUUCUUAUAAAACAGUUCUACCUUGAACUGUCUUUGCUCUUCUAUCAAAGAUCAGUUGACUGUGUUUGUGUGAGCCUAUUUCUGGGCUUUCUAUUUUGUUCCAUUGAUCUAUGUGUUUAUUUUUUCAUCAAUACCACACUCUCUUGAUUACCAUCAGUUCAGUUCAGUUUAGUCACUCGGUCAUGUCUGAUCUUUGCAACCCCAUGGACUGCAGCAGGCUAGGCCUCCCUGUCCAUCACCAACUCCUGGAGCUUACUCAAACUCAUGUCCAUUGAGUUGGUGAUGCAAUUCAACCAUCUCAUCCUCUGUCGUCCCCUUCUCCUCCUGCCCUCAGUCUUUCUCAGCAUCAGGGUCUUUUCAAAUGAGUCAGCUCUUCACAUCAGGUGGCCAAAGUAUUGGAGUUUCAGCUUCAACAUCAGUCCUUCCAAUGAACACCCAGGACUGAUCUCCUUCAGGAUGGACUGAUUGGAUCUCCUUGCAGUCCAAGGGACUCUCAAGAGUCUUCUCCAACACCACAGUUCAAAAACAUCAAUUCUUCAGUGCUCAGCUUUCUUUAUAGUCCAACUCUCACAUCCAUACAUGACUUACUGGAAAAACCAUAGCCUUGACUAGACGGACCAUUUUUGGCAAGGUAAUAUCCCUGCUUUUUAAUAUGCUGUCUAGGUUGGUCAUUACUUUCCUUCCAAGGAGUAAGCGUCUUUUAAUUUCAUGGCUUCAAUCACCAUCUGCAGUGAUUCUGGAGCCCAGAAAACAAAGUCAGCCACUGUGUCCACUGUUUCCCCUUCUAUUUGCCAUGAAGUGAUGGGACAGGAUGCCAUGAUCUUAGUUUUCUGAAUGUUGAGCUUUAAACCAACUUUUUCACUCUCCUCUUUCACCUUCAUCAAGAGGCUCUUUAGUUCUUCUUCACUUUCUGCCAUAAGGGUGGUGUCAUCUCCAUUUCUGAGGUUAUUGAUAUUUCUCCAGGCAAUCUUGAUUCCAGCUUGUGCUUCCUCC
ensembl:lncRNA